UACAGAGGGUGCAAGCGUUGUUCGGAAUUAUUGGGCGUAAAGGGAGUGUAGGCGGUCUGUUAAGUCUUCUGUGAAAUCUACGGGCUUACCCUGUAAAGUGCAGAGGAAACUAGCAGGCUUGAGUGUCGGAGAGGAUAGGGGAAUUCCCGGUGUAGAGGUGAAAUUCGUAGAGAUCGGGAGGAACACCAGUGGCGAAGGCGCCUAUCUGGCUGACAACUGACACUGAGACUCGAAAGCAUGGGGAGCAAACAGG
rnacentral:rRNA from 1 species